rnacentral:rRNA from 1 species
CCUACGGGGGGCAGCAGUGGGGAAUAUUGGGCAAUGGAGGAAACUCUGACCCAGCAACGCCGCGUGAAUGAUGAAGGUCUUCGGAUUGUAAAGUUCUUUUCUAAGGGAAGAAGAAAGUGACGGUACCUUAGGAAUAAGCCUCGGCUAACUACGUGCCAGCAGCCGCGGUAAUACGGAGGAUGCGAGCGUUAUCCGGAUUUAGUGGGUUUAAAGGGUGCGCAGGCGGCCUGUUAAGUCAGCGGUAAAAGCCCGGGGCUCAACCCCGGCGAGCCGUUGAAACUGGCGGGCUGGAGUUGGAGAGAAGUACGAGGAAUGCGCGGUGUAGCGGUGAAAUGCUUAGAUAUCGCGCAGAACCCCGAUUGCGAAGGCAGCGUACCGGCUCCACACUGACGCUGAGGCACGAAAGCGUGGGUAUCGAACAGGAUUAGAUACCCGGGUAGUC